rnacentral:rRNA from 1 species
UACGUAGGCAGCGAGCGUUGUUCGGAGUUACUGGGCGUAAAGGGUGCGUAGGUGGCGGGGUAAGUCAGGUGUGAAAUCUCGGGGCUCAACCCCGAAACUGCAUUUGAUACUGCCUUGCUCGAGUACUGGAGAGGAGAUUGGAAUUUACGGUGUAGCAGUGAAAUGCGUAGAUAUCGUAAGGAAGACCAGUGGCGAAGGCGAAUCUCUGGACAGUUACUGACACUGAGGCACGAAGGCCAGGGGAGCAAACGGG